rnacentral:rRNA from 1 species
GACGAACGCUGGCGGCGUGCUUAACACAUGCAAGUCGAACGGUAAGGCCCUUCGGGGUACACGAGUGGCGAACGGGUGAGUAACACGUGGGUGAUCUGCCCUGCACUUCGGGAUAAGCCUGGGAAACUGGGUCUAAUACCGGAUAGGACCCUGGGAUGCAUGUCCUGGGGUGGAAAGCUUUUGCGGUGUGGGAUGGGCCCGCGGCCUAUCAGCUUGUUGGUGGGGAGAUGGUCUACCAAGGCGACGACGGGUAGCCGGCCUGAGAGGGUGAGCCGGCCAGCGUGGGACUGAGAUACGGCCCAGACUCCUACGGGAGGCAGCAGUGGGGAAUAUUGCACAAUGGGCGCAAGCCUGAUGUAGCGACGCCGCGUGAGGGAUGACGGCCUUCGGGUUGUAAACCUCUUUCAGCACCGACGAAGCGCAAGUGACGGUAGGUGCAGAAGAAGGACCGGCCAACUACGUGCCAGCCGCCGCCGUAA